rnacentral:lncRNA from 1 species
GGGGGUUGGUUUUUCCUCCCCUCCCUUUAAGUCAUUCGCUAGAUCAAUCCAGGCGGAAGGUACCCCCAGCCCCGCUCCAUCCUCCCCCCUGUAUCCCUGCAGCAGCAGGAGUUCUCUCAGGGGACAGGGGGCCAGGGAGGGGAAGGAAACAGAGACUCCGGUGUAGUUUCCCUCUCAGCCGGUGCACGGCGGAUCUCCCGGCCCGGAGCAAGUCAGUCACCAUCCUACGCCUCCUUUUAGCACCGUCAUCCGGCUACUCCGCGCUGGGGAGGCGCAAUCGCUGCAAAUCACGCCGGGAAAUGGACGCUGCGGCAAAGGCGCCCCCUUGGCCAACUCCAGCCUCGCCCCCCUCCGCGGGGCGCACAGGCGCGCAGGCAAGGUGAGGUGGAGGCAAGGAACAUACCUGGAUCACAUACAAUGAUAACGAGAAAAUUCCACUGAAGCAUACAGAAGGUGCCAUAUAGCAUUGAAGGAGACCAAAAAGAGAUUAUGCUCUGUGGCAUGGGAAUCUAGAAGAAAAACACCAUGUGCACUCACACACAGGCUACCUAAGUGUGGGUAACAAACGAGUGCUCGAUUAAUACCAAACAAUGCUAUAAAAACUGUGGGAAUUCAAAUCCAAAUACAAAGUGGGAAUUUUUUACAUAUGGGGAAAAUGUCUUCAACACUCUACAGACUUAGGAUGUUGGUUCACAGGGGCACAAGAUUGAGACCAAUCAUAGCUUUGUUUUUCUCUCUCUGCCUAUUUCCAUUUUUUUCCCCUAGAAAUUGCUGCAUAAAAAUGUUAGAAAGCAAAGAAGAAGUGGAACAAAGGGACAUUUACCAUUAAUAGGGACAGAAGGCGAAUCUGUGUCUCUAAUGCUCUGGAAAAAUUCUAUUUCUGCCUAACACACUAGAGUAUCAAAAGCCAAUAGCAGCAGUGUAUAACCUCUAUAUAUGCUGGCCAAAAUUAUUAUUUCCCUGAAUCUGAGGGAAAAAAUUCCAAUAAAUCAUGAGUCGAUGUUCA